ensembl:vault_RNA Vault Vault RNA
GGGCCGGUCUUAGCUCAGCGGUUCCUUCAACAGUCCAUUGUCAAAACCACUCUUUGGAGAGUGGUUUGAGAUCUGCCGGCACUCUCCAGCCCUUUU